UCUAGACAAAUUGUUUAUGGGUUGCCGCUCGUUUUGCUGCUGCUGCUCAUGUUCAUCCUGCCCUGCAUUCAUUCAGUGGAGGACCACAUUUGAUGAACGAGGUCAACAAGCCAGGCCAAUGAAGGCAGCGUGAAAGGAGGUUUAACUAGGCAUUAAUUGGUCUCUGAAUUGGUAAAGGCGAUUGACUUGCAGCUAUUUCAUUUUUAGCAACAUGGCGAGGAAGGGACUAAUGGCGCUACAUCACUCCAGCCUUUAUCCACUAGCGUUGGAUGGACCAAUUUUCCUCCCUCUGCUAGCCCAUGGUGCUUCAUCCAUUUUUAUAUGGGUAUACAUGGUGCUUGAUGAAAAUCCUAGCUAAGAUAACGAAAAAGGAGUUUGCAUAUAAAUGAGAAUUCCUCAUAUCUUGCCAAUACGUGAAUGCCAUGUGAG